rnacentral:rRNA from 1 species
GGCUUAAUUUGACUCAACACGGGGAAACUUACCAGGUCCAGACAUAGUAAGGAUUGACAGACUGAGAGCUCUUUUUUUUUUUUUUUAUCAAAUGUAAGAAUAUUAUAGAUCAAAAAGGCGC